CACGCGGGCCGACGGUGGCGGAGAGCCGGAUCUGCGCGGCGGCGACGCUCCAAGCUCCGGCAUCAGCCCGAUACCCGCGCGCGUCGUGCCUCCUCCGCUCGUCCGGGCGCCCGGCGCUGCCCCCCUCCCCCCGCGGGCGGCUCGACCUCGACCCGCGAUGCUUCCGCUGCCAACUCGGGGUUGUCGUUGGCGGCCGCCGACAGGCUGGUGACGGCGAGCGCGGACGGGGUGGCGCGCUCUGAAUGCGAUCCGACCCCGCCUGGGCCACGCCAACCUACUGCGAGCCUACAGAGCGCCCGCGGGGUCCAGCGGCACUCCGACGUCCCGCCUGUGCACCCGACGCACCAAGGCGGACCCCUACGUUCGCGCGCGUCGUGCCUCCUCCGCUCGUCAUGCUAAAAACAUGAGUGAUUCAGGUCCAUCUCAAGGCCUAGUCGAGCAAACUCAUGAGCACAUGUCUUUUUGGGGGGGGGGCAGUAAUUUCCAUUAAGCCUCGUCGGUCGAUUUUUCUGUUCAAUUGAUGAUAGUGUUCAUGGGCUGCUUUGUCUUUGUUUUUGUCAAGUUAGCCCAUUAUAGCGCUAGGAAGCGCUCAAUCCACACGAGACGCACGACACCGUGGUUUGGAGUUUCCUGUUUGACUAGGUUCAUACCCGUACAUUGCUACGGGUGGCAAAAAAAUGCACAAUACACAAAAUUUGGGCAA